GACGAACGCUGGCGGCGUGCUUAACACAUGCAAGUCGAGCGGUAAGGCCCUUUCGGGGGUACACGAGCGGCGAACGGGUGAGUAACACGUGGGUGACCUGCCCUCAGCUCUGGGAUAAGCCUGGGAAACUGGGUCUAAUACUGGAUAUGACUCCACGGUGCAUGUCGUGGGGUGGAAAGCCUUGUGCGGCUGAGGAUGGGCCCGCGGCCUAUCAGCUUGUUGGUGGGGCGANGGGCCUACCAAGGCGACGACGGGUAGCCGGCCUGAGAGGGCGACCGGCCACACUGGGACUGAGAUACGGCCCAGACUCCUACGGGAGGCAGCAGUGGGGAAUAUUGCGCAAUGGGCGGAAGCCUGACGCAGCGACGCCGCGUGGGGAUGACGGCCCUCGGGUGUAAACCUCUUCGACCGGGACGAAGAGAGAUUGACGGUACCGGUACAAGAAGCACCGGCCAACUACGUGCCAGCAGCCG
rnacentral:rRNA from 1 species